rnacentral:lncRNA from 1 species
GUCAAAAUCAAGCAUCCGUUGAAUCGGCAAUUGCUUGUAGUUAUAGAACAAUGCUUGCGUUGUACGAGAAAAUAUUUGUCCGGUUGCCAUGGUGCUCCCUGAAUGAAUUUGUUAAGACUAUUGGAAGCAGGUGAGCGGUUUUCCAGACGAGCUUUGAAGUGUGUAGCACAUAAUAUGGGCUGAUGAUAUAAAUAGAAAUGGAGGUUUACUAGUAGUUGUGUUCGCGU